AUUGGCUCUCCUUGCCCCAGACCCGUGGAAUCGCUUCCGGUCCCCCCUGCAGCCCAGGGCUUGCCCCUGGGUGCCCCGGCCUCACCCAUCUUGCGGGCGUCUGCUGAGCCUCACUUCCUGGAAACCCUCCUGGACUCUAAGUCCAAGUUCACCCGGGCUCCCCCCAGGGAGCACAGGCCACACCGCUUCCUACCUACGAUUUUGUCUGCCGCCCAAGAGACCCGAGCUCUGCAAUGGCUUCCCACGCCUGCCACGGUGCGUGGUCCCAAACAGAUGCGCCGCAGAGAGCAGGUGAUGUCAGGAGCCUUGGAUGACCCUGGUGUCGGGGUGCUCACUACCUCUCACUGGUGAUUAUCCUGAUCAUUAGAAGGCAGCAUUUGGCUCCAUCCAUCUCCAGCCUCUGUGUGCCCCCACCCAGCAGCUGAGAAUGACCCCCUGUCCCACGCCAGGCAAGUCCACAGAGGGAGCUUUGGCUGGAAGAAGAAGCUACCAGACUGGGGGCCAAGAGAGGGGAGACGCUGGUGAAGGACAACAGUGGCUCAGUGUUUUCCAGGAAGGCUGGAGUGCACGAAGAAUGCAAAGCACAGAAACUAUCUCAGUCAACCACGUCUCUAUCAAAAGUGAGAGGAGGAAAGGGAGACAGCCACCUGUGUCCCAGACCCACGUCCCUCACUGGCUCAGGCGGGGGCCCCACCCUUCGGUAGUGGGUGUUGAAUUCCCAGCCUGGCGUUUGGGUUUUUUCGGCUGGCUGUGGUCCCAGCUUGUCCAGAGGAGCCCUGGAGAAGCACUCUCCUCUGGUGGUCACUACAGAGAUAGCAGCUGCCGUCGGAAGAAAGCCACCUCCUAAAGCUAAAAGCUGAAUGGGUUCAUUUCCCCCCGCCUAAAACUGGGGAAUUCAUCUCUUUGAGGGAUCCAAACAGAUAUUUGCACACGCAUGCUCGUAGCAUCAUUAUUCACGAUGGCCAAAAGGUGGAAACCUCCUAAAUGUCCACGGACAGAUGAACGGAUAAACAAAAUGGGUCCAGCCACACAACGCAGUAUUAUUCAGCCUUAAAAAAAAAA